CCUGCCGGCUGCCGGGGCCAAGGGAAAGGGGCGUGGAGGGAGGUGACCUGUGGAGGGGCGGGGACGAAGGUGUCUCCUGUGGGCUCUGGGGGAGGCUGCGUGCUAAUGGGUGGGGCUGUGGGGCGGGGAAGUCGCUGAGGGCUUUGGAGUCUCCCGCGCCUAGUCCACUGUCCUCGGCGUUGGGACUCUUCAGCCCGCGGAGCUUGCGACGCAGGACCGGGGAGAGAGAGGCGGGACGGGCGCUCCCUCUCCCAACCCCAUCGCCCCCACGGAGCUGUCGCGAAGCCCGCCCGCUUGUGGCUUGUUGACCACGCCACUCUCCUAAAAAUGCUCUUCCUCAGCUGUGCUACCUUUGCCCUGACCCGAGGAGCGGCGGGGGUUGGAAGGCAGAGAAAGGAGGGCGGUUACCCGAGUCCCUUAAAAAUGGAGCAAAACGGGAGAAAAUCGAAAGAGACAGGAAGUUAAAAGCUGUUGAAAACUGGUUUGUUUGCAGUGUGAAUUAAGUUUAACUACUCUGCCCCUUUGAGACCAGAGACGGUGGACAGAUAGUCCUCUUCCUCUCUCCUUGUCCCCUUCACUCCGCCCAGGAAUUUAGAGGUAAAUGUGAUUUAAAGUGCUAGACAGAUGCAAGCACGCCUGGGGAAGAGUUAGAGAUGGUGGAAGAAAGUGACAACGUCUGGUAAAGCACACUCCUAAACUUGUGACACAAAUUGUCACCGGGAAAGACACGUCCUGAACCUUCUCCCCAGUCACUCCACCAAGUGGUCUGCCCAGGCGGAUGCAGAUAGAACAGCCGCACGCACUUGAGCGUGUGGCUGCGCUCUUUCCCCUGUAGUCCGCAACCGGUGAUUUCCAGAAGCUCUGUUCUUGUAACUCACCAGCCCACGGAGCAAACUCAAGUUUUUUGAAAACUGAUUUGUAGAGCUAGUCAUGUCAGCAGCAGAUGGAUGUUUUCAGGGACAUAAUCUGUGACUGAUUAUGUUUACAACUUUUCUGCCUUGAUCUAAACUCUAGAAAGUGGCCUCUACUGUAGCAUAGCAGUUAGGUACAAUUGUUAGGAUCCUUGUCACUAAAGACAGCAAGGAAAAGCUAUCACGUUCCAUCUAGAAGUUCAAUCUGUAGUGAUAAAAAUAAUGUGUUACUCUGUGCUAGCACUGCUGUAUCUUGCAUAUAUUUAUUAACUCAUUUAUAGAUUUUUACAAAAACUGAUUUAUAGGUUCUUGUAGAAAUACUGGCAUCUGUGUACAAAGAGAUGUAAAUGUUUAUUUCAGCCUUGUCUAUAAUAGGAAAAAAUAAGUCCAAACCACCUAAGUGUCUAUCAAUACAGGAUGAUUAAGCUUAAGAUACCAAAAUACUAUAGUUAAUUAUGUUAUUGUUUGAAAGAUUGAAUAUGAUAGAAUAUAUUGAAUUAUUAAUAAUAAAAUAUAUUGGUACACUUCCAGGUACUAAUGCUGCAUUGCGAAUUACGCCCACAAGGUAGUGGUAAAAAACAACCAUUUAUUAUGCUGACAGAUUCUGUGCGUCAGGAAUUGAGAUAGCACAGCAGGUAUGACUUUUUUUCUGCUCCCUUAUGCAUAGGGCCUCAACUGGAAGGCUGAAGAUUGAAAUCCUCUGAAAAGUUUUCACUUUCAUGUUGGUGAUUGAUACUGGCUGGAGGCUGCAGGCUGGAGACCUCAGCUCAACUCCCUGUAGACCUCUGCAGGUGGUCUCUUAAUGUGGACUUGGUUGGGCUCCUCACAGCAUGAGGGUUAGGUUCUAAGGGUGAGUAUCCUAAGAGAGCGAGAGCCAGGUAGAAGCAUAUUAUGGUUUAUCUGCCUUAGAAGUCAUGCAGUGUCAAUUCUGCUGCGUUCUCUUUACCCAGGCCCUUAUAAAGCCUCAUCCAGGUUCAGAGGCAGGGGAGAUAGAUUCUACUUCUUGAUAGGGAGAAGCAAAGUUUGUAGAGAACAUGUGGGACCAGAAAUACUGCUGUGGCCAUUUUUAGAAAACACACAUUGUCUUAAGUGCUUAAGACCGCCUAAACACCCUAAGGAGGUAAAAUAAACUAAUAAGUACAAUGGGACCCCAUUGACGGUUUUUAAAAAGUACAAAAUAAAACCAUAUUUUCAAAGGUACAUGCAUUGUUUAACAAUACAUAUGACAUAGUUUCUAAGUUUAACCUGGGGGGCCAGCCAAGGAAACAAUGAUCUGUUCAAGUAGUGCAGGGGAAAAAACGGCCAAAGUGUCUCCACACAAUUCCCCAAGACAUGUUUAAUUUUUACCUAGCAAAAUGCCUCUCCGUAUCUGUGGAAUAACCCUGUCCUAAGAAAGAUACGACUCCACUGUAAUGAAUGAGCGGCACCAAGUCUUACUGUUCUUUCCAUAUUGUCACGUGGCACUGAGCUUUCCCACACCCAGGGGCUCACUUAAUGUUGUCCCACAGUUAUUUUCAGAGAGAUGAGAAUUAUAAAGACCUACUUGAGGUCAGUGACUGAGUCUUCUUCACUUAUUAUUCACAUAUUUAAUAUAUAAAAGGGGACCUAUUGGGUUUUCUUUUCUUUUUUUUUUUUUAACUACAUUAUGCUAUUCUCUCAGCAGUGCAGGAUGUUUACAAUUACAAAGUAAAUUCUGGCCUCCUUCCUAGUGAAUAAGCUAAUAGGAUCUCUGACAUCUAAGCUCCAGUGACUUGUUUUACAUCCCGGUAUCAAGAUCCCAAUGAUGAUCCAUCGACAUCAGAAGACUUCCCUAAGAAAUCUGUCCUUAUAUUUGUAAAGUAUUUUCAAGCUCAUGUUUGUGAGUAAUAUGCUGAUAUGGUGAUAGCAUUAUUUUAGGUAUAGAAAUAGGAUUAAUUCACUUCAGCGCUUUGGGCAUGUUUGCCUAUUUUGAGGCAUUGAAAAGGCAACUAUCUCCGUGAGCAAUGACUUCAUGGGAAGGAGGAAGAAAUGGUCUUGGGGACAUUGGGGUCUUGGGGACUGUCAAGGGACAGUCUUUUGUCUGGAUAAUUAGUAUUUUCAUUGCUUGGCAAUAUCUUAUGAUACAAUAGUCACUUAGUUACUAUUGUCUUUGUUCUCUUUUGAAUAAUGAAAGGAUACACCUUAAGUUUUUUUUUUUUAGAAGAAAAAACUCCUCAUUAAAUCACCUAAAAUAACCAACAUCAAUUUUGAAACAAUAUCCUCAAGCAGCUUCCUUAAGUUAGCUUGAAAGGAGAAAAGUUCCUUCCUAAUUCUAACAACUAGACAUUUUUCUCUUAUUGGCCAGUUUUCAUAAAGGUAACUGGGAAUGAAGAUGUUAAUAACAGAGAGAUGUUUUAAGUUAUCUUGACUCAGCAGGAUGCCAUGUUAUGUGCCAUAGGCACAUAUACUGAAUAAUUUAAAUAUUUGUAUAGUUUUAUGUGCCAUGGGUCUCUUAAUCCUACUAAUCCUAUCUAUUAUACAUAAAGCCUUGAAUAUGAGUGUUCUUUGUUUUAUCUUAGAUGAAAGAAAGGGGAUACAUCGAAUUUGAGGUCUAUAGAAUUUAAUCAAAGGAUGAAUAUAAGGAUGUUGUUUUACCACCUGCAAUCCUGGAACACUACGAGAUUCCCAGAACUCAGAAGUUAUUGCCCAUGUUGUGCCCGGCAUGUAUCUAUGAAGAUUUGCAUGCUUCUUUUUCUACAUGGAUCUUCCCUGCCAAAGCUUUUUCGGAACCUUGGGAGGACCCAACUACCUGAAGAGAAAACACAGAGGCAAAUCUCAAACUAUGGAUUCAAAAUUAUCAAGGAAGGGGAGAAGGGGAAACAAAAUAGGGUAAUGUAUACUUAGUACGUAAAAGUGCUUUCAUAUAUUACGUAUGUUAGGGUGGAAGUUAAAUAUUGCAACAACUGUUUCGCUAAGAAAUUUGUAUUUCUCUCUCCCUCCAAAUUUCAGACAUUUGGAAGCAAAAAAUAUUCCUUUACGUGUAUACACUUACCACGUUAGAUGUUCAGGUUUCUGGAAUUCUGUUUGUCAGAUAGACCUGCACAGAUAUGAUGUUGCCCUUCUGAUGCCCUUCUUUGUUUGCCCGGUGAACAUCUACUAGCACUUCUUUGAACAAUUUCUGUAUUAAUAAACGUAUAGAGGGGCGCCUGGGUGGCUCAGUCGGUUAAGCGUCCGACUUCGGCUCAGGUCAUGAUCUCACGGUUCGUGAGUUCGAGCCCCGCAUCAGGCUCUGUGCUGAUGGCUCAGAGCCUGGAGCCUGU